rnacentral:rRNA from 1 species
UACGGGGGGGGCAAGCGUUGUUCGGAAUUACUGGGCGUAAAGGGCUGGUAGGCGGCCAACUAAGUCGGAUGUGAAAUCCCCAGGCUUAACCUGGGAACUGCAUCCGAUACUGGUCGGCUUGAAUCCGGGAGAGGGAUGCAGAAUUCCAGGUGUAGCGGUGAAAUGCGUAGAUAUCUGGAGGAAUACCGAUGGCGAAGGCAGGUCUCUGGGCUGACACUGACGCUCAUGCACGAAAGCGUGGGGAGCAAACAGG